GAGAGUAUAGUUCAGUGGUAGAGUGCAUGCCUAGCCUGCACCAGUGCCUGGGUUCAAUCCCCAGUACCUCCA
rnacentral:tRNA from 1 species